rnacentral:rRNA from 1 species
UACGGAGGGGGCUAGCGUUGUUCGGAAUUACUGGGCGUAAAGCGCGCGUAGGCGGCUUUGUAAGUCAGAGGCGAAAGCCUGGAGCUCAACUCCAGAACUGCCUUUGAGACUGCAUCGCUAGAAUCAUGGAGAGGUUAGUGGAAUUCCGAGUGUAGAGGUGAAAUUCGUAGAUAUUAGGAAGAACACCAGUGGCGAAGGCAGCUCGCUGGGACGGUACUGACGCUAAGGCGCGAAAGCGUGGGGAGCGAACAGG